AUUGAACGCUGGCGGCAGGCUUAACACAUGCAAGUCGAGCGGGGGAGGUUGCUUCGGUAACUGACCUAGCGGCGGACGGGUGAGUAAUGCUUAGGAAUCUGCCUAUUAGUGGGGGACAACAUUCCGAAAGGGAUGCUAAUACCGCAUACGCCCUACGGGGGAAAGCAGGGGAUCUUCGGACCUUGCGCUAAUAGAUGAGCCUAAGUCGGAUUAGCUAGUUGGUGGGGUAAAGGCCUACCAAGGCGACGAUCUGUAGCGGGUCUGAGAGGAUGAUCCGCCACACGGGGACUGAGACACGGCCCAGACUCCUACGGGAGGCAGCAGUGGGGAAUAUUGGACAAUGGGCGGAAGCCUGAUCCAGCCAUGCCGCGUGUGUGAAGAAGGCCUUUUGGUUGUAAAGCACUUUAAGCGAGGAGGAGGCUCUUAAGGUUAAUACUCUAGGAUAGUGGACGUUACUCGCAGAAUAAGCACCGGCUAACUCUGUGCCAGCCGCCGCAGUAAUAC
rnacentral:rRNA from 1 species